rnacentral:tRNA from 1 species
GUGGGUGUAGCUCAAUUGGUUAGAGCGUCUCCCUGUGGAGGAGAAUGUUGUGGGUUCAAGUCCCAUCACUCACC